rnacentral:RNase_P_RNA from 1 species
UCAGCCGGCCGGACGGCCGCCGCCGCAUCACCCGAAAGGGCGCGGGGGAGGAAAGUCCGGGCUCCACGGAAACACGGUGCCGGAUAACGUCCGGCGGGGGCGACCCCAGGGAAAGUGCCACAGAGAACAGACCGCCGGAGCAUGCUCCGGCAAGGGUGAAACGGUGGGGUAAGAGCCCACCGCGCGACCGGCAACGGAAGCGGCACGGCAAACCCCACCGGGAGCAAAACCGAAUAGGGACGGCAUGGGGCGCCCCACCGGGGAGACCCAAGGCGUGGAUCCGCGUCGCCGUCCGGGUAGGUUGCCAGAGGCGUCCAGCAAUGGGCGUCCUAGAGGAAUGGCCGUCGCGCGGGAGCGAUCCCGCCCCACAAAACCCGGCUUACAGGCCGACUGAUGAU